rnacentral:rRNA from 1 species
UACGUAGGGGGCAAGCGUUGUCCGGAUUUAUUGGGCGUAAAGAGCGUGUAGGCGGCCAUGCAGGUCCGCUGUGAAAACUGGAGGCUUAACCUCCAGACGUCGGUGGAAACCGCAUGGCUAGAGUCCGGAAGAGGAGAGUGGAAUUCCUGGUGUAGCGGUGAAAUGCGCAGAUAUCAGGAAGAACACCCGUGGCGAAGGCGGCUCUCUGGGACGGUACUGACGCUGAGACGCGAAAGCGUGGGGAGCGAACAGG